rnacentral:rRNA from 1 species
GGACGAACGCUGGCGGCGUGCCUAACACAUGCAAGUCGAGCGAGGAGAUUCCUUCGGGAUGAUCCUAGCGGCGGACGGGUGAGUAACACGUGGGCAACCUGCCUCAUAGAGAGGAAUAGCCUUCCGAAAGGGAGAUUAAUACCUCAUAACAUUGCAGUUUCGCAUGAAACAGCAAUUAAAGGAGCAAUCCGCUAUGAGAUGGGCCCGCGGCGCAUUAGCUAGUUGGUGAGGUAACGGCUCACCAAGACGAUGAUACGUAGCCGACCUGAGAGGGUGAUCGGCCACAUUGGGACUGAGACACGGCCCAAACUCCUACGGGAGGCAGCAGUAGGGAAUCUUCCGCAAUGGACGAAAGUCUGACGGAGCAACGCCGCGUGAGUGAAAGAAGGUUUUCGGAUCGUAAAACUCUGUUGUCAGAGAAGAACAAGUUGGAGAGUAACUGCUCCAGCCUUGACGGUAUCUGACCAGAAAGCCACGGCUAACUACGUGCCAGCCGCCGC